GGGAUAACUGUGGUAAUUCUUAGAGCUAAUACAUGCACCAAAGCUCCGAUCUUUUGACGAGCGCAUCUAUUAGACCAAAAACCAAUCGGGAGUGGUUUCGCGUCAAAAACGAAGCCGCUCUCGUGAAUUUGGUGACUCUGAAUAGCUUAGCUGAUCGCAUGGUCAUGCACCGGCGACGUAUCUAUCAAGUGUCUGCCUUAUCAACUUUCGAUGGUAGUUUAUAUGCCUACCAUGGUUGUAACGGGUAACGGAGAAUAAGGGUUCGACUCCGGAGAGGGAGCCUGAGAAACGGCUACCACAUCCAAGGAAGGCAGCAGGCGCGCAAAUUACCCACUCUCAGCACGAGGAGGUAGUGACGAAAAAUAACGAGACCGUUCUCUUCGAGGCCGGUUAUCGGAAUGAGUACAACUUAAAGCCGUUAAUAAGGAUCUAUGAGAGGGCAAGUCUGGUGCCAGCAGCCGCGGUAAUUCCAGCUCUCAAAGUGUAUAUCGUCAUUGCUGCGGUUAAAAAGCUCGUAGUUGGAUUUAAGCUCGAUGUCUCGGUCCAUCCUAAGGAUGUGAACUGAGCUCAUCGGCUAAUCGACGGCUGGUUUCGUCUAGGUGGCCUUAAGCGGUCGCCUAGGCUGGCUAGCAAGUUUACUUUGAAAAAAUUAGAGUGCUCAACGCGGGCUUAACGCCUGAAUAGUCGUGCAUGGAAUAAUGGAAUAGGAUCUCGGUUCUAUUUUGUUGGUUUUCUUAGCUGAGAUAAUGGUUAAGAGGGACAGACGGGGGCAUUCGUAUCGCUACGUGAGAGGUGAAAUUCUUGGACCGUAGCGAGACGCCCGACUGCGAAAGCAUUUGCCAAGAAUGUCUUCAUUAAUCAAAGAACGAAAGUCAGAGGUUCGAAGGCGAUCAGAUACCGCCCUAGUUCUGACCGUAAACGAUACCAACUAGCGUUCCGCCGGCGGUAAAUACGCCUUGGCGGGCAGCUUCCCGGAAACGAAAGUGUUUCGGUUCCGGGGGAAGUAUGGUUGCAAAGCUGAAACUUAAAGAAAUUGACGGAAGGGCACCACCAGGAGUGGAGCCUGCGGCUUAAUUUGACUCAACACGGGAAAACUCACCUGGCCCGGACACCGUGAGGAUUGACAGAUUGAGAGCUCUUUCUUGAUUCGGUGGUUGGUGGUGCAUGGCCGUUCUUAGUUGGUGGAGUGAUUUGUCUGGUUUAUUCCGAUAACGAGCGAGACUCUAGCCUAUUAAAUAGUCAACGGAUAAGUGCGUCCGUUUCGACUUCUUAGAGGGACAAGCGGUGUUCAGCCGCAUGAAGUUGAGCAAUAACAGGUCUGUGAUGCCCUUAGAUGUCCAGGGCUGCACGCGCGCUACACUGGAGGAAUCAGCGUGCCGUAUCCAUUGCCGAAAGGUACUGGUAACCC
rnacentral:rRNA from 1 species